rnacentral:misc_RNA from 1 species
CUCUCUCUCUCUCUCUCUCUCUCUCAUUAAUUGAACGGUCUUCCUUUUCACGCUUAGCAAUCCAUCAUGGCGGACCCUUCUAGACCCGCUACUGGCUAACCCCUUUACCCCGCCCCACANCCAACGGCUCCCCUCCGCCGCAAUCUGCCACAGCCUAUGCACCGCCGCCGCCCAAUAACCCCUACUAUUACAAUCAACCGCCAGCAUAUCCC